rnacentral:rRNA from 1 species
GUGGGGAAUAUUGGACAAUGGGCGCAAGCCUGAUCCAGCCAUGCCGCGUGAGUGAUGAAGGCCCUGGGGUUGUAAAGCUCUUUCACCGGAGAAGAUAAUGACGGUAUCCGGAGAAGAAGCCCCGGCUAACUUCGUGCCAGCAGCCGCGGUAAUACGAAGGGGGCUAGCGUUGUUCGGAAUUACUGGGCGUAAAGCGCACGUAGGCGGACAUUUAAGUCAGGGGUGAAAUCCCGGGGCUCAACCCCGGAACUGCCUUUGAUACUGGGUGUCUGGAGUAUGGAAGAGGUAAGUGGAAUUCCGAGUGUAGAGGUGAAAUUCGUAGAUAUUCGGAGGAACACCAGUGGCGAAGGCGGCUUACUGGUCCAUUACUGACGCUGAGGUGCGAAAGCGUGGGGAGCAAACAGGAUUAGAUACCCGAGUAGUCC